rnacentral:rRNA from 1 species
AUUGAACGCUGGCGGCAGGCCUAACACAUGCAAGUCGAACGGUAACAGGAAGCAGCUUGCUGCUUUGCUGACGAGUGGCGGACGGGUGAGUAAUGUCUGGGAAACUGCCUGAUGGAGGGGGAUAACUACUGGAAACGGUAGCUAAUACCGCAUAACGUCGCAAGACCAAAGAGGGGACCUUAGGGCCUCUUGCCAUCGGAUGUGCCCAGAUGGGAUUAGCUAGUAGGUGGGGUAACGGCUCACCUAGGCGACGAUCCCUAGCUGGUCUGAGAGGAUGACCAGCCACACUGGAACUGAGAAACGGUCCAGACUCCUACGGGAGGCAGCAGUGGGGAAUAUUGAACAAUGGGCGCAAGCCUGAUGCAGCCAUGCCGCGUGUAUGAAGAAGGCCUUCGGGUUGUAAAGUACUUUCAGCGGGGAGGAAGGGAGUAAAGUUAAUACCUGUGCUCAUUGACGUUACCCGAAGAAGAAGCACCGGCUAACUCCGU